rnacentral:rRNA from 1 species
ACGAGACCUUCGGGUCUGUGGCGCACGGGUGCGUAACGCGUGGGAACCUGCCUUUAGGUUCGGAAUAACUCAGAGAAAUUUGAGCUAAUACCGGAUAAUGUCUUCGGACCAAAGAUUUAUCGCCUUUAGAUGGGCCCGCGUUGGAUUAGCUAGUUGGUGGGGUAAAGGCCUACCAAGGCGACGAUCCAUAGCUGGUCUGAGAGGAUGAUCAGCCACACUGGGACUGAGACACGGCCCAGACUCCUACGGGAGGCAGCAGUGGGGAAUAUUGGACAAUGGGCGAAAGCCUGAUCCAGCAAUGCCGCGUGAGUGAUGAAGGCCUUAGGGUUGUAAAGCUCUUUUACCCGAGAUGAUAAUGACAGUAUCGGGAGAAUAAGCUCCGGCUAACUCCGUGCCAGCAGCCGCGGUAAUACGGAGGGAGCUAGCGUUGUUCGGAAUUACUGGGCGUAAGCGCACGUAGGCGGCUUUUUAAGUCAGGGGUGAAAUCCCGGGGCUCAACCCCGGAACUGCCCUUGAAACUGGGAAGCUAGAAUCUUGGAGAGGCGAGUGGAAUUCCGAGUGUAGAGGUGAAAUUCGUAGAUA